AUUGAACGCUGGCGGCAGGCCUAACACAUGCAAGUCGAACGAGUGGCGGACGGGUGAGUAAUGUCUGGGAAACUGCCUGAUGGAGGGGGAUAACUACUGGAAACGGUAGCUAAUACCGCAUACCAUCUGAUGUGCCCAGAUGGGGUUAGCUAGUAGGUUGGGUAACGGCUCACCUAGGCGACGAUCCCUAGCUGGUCUGAGAGGAUGACCAGCCACAAUGGAACUGUGACACGGUCCAGACUCGUACGGGAGGCAGCAGUGGGGAAUAUUGCACAAUGGGGGCAAGCCUGAUGCAGCCAUGCCGCGUGUAUGAAGAAGGCCUUCGGGUUGUAAAGUACGUUCAGCGGGGAGGCGUGACCCGCAGAAGAAGCACCGGCUAACUCCGUGCCAGCAGCCGCGGUAAUUC
rnacentral:rRNA from 1 species